rnacentral:misc_RNA from 1 species
GACGUAAUCUUCUCCUCGCCCCCAAAAGGCAAAGAGCAUACGCACAUACAUGCAGCGCCAGGUGUACACUGGGUGAAGGUAGGUGCUUGCCCCUGCCCGCCCUCUCUUUUUUUUUUUGCGACACACAACGGAGCUACACCAGUACACCAGUAUUGUGUGCUCCCUCCUCCUCCUCCAUUUGUGCUAAGUGCCACCUCAUCGAUCCUACGUUUUGCCUUUUUUUAGCUGCUGUCACGAUGCUGCUGCCGUGAUCGAUUCACGAACGCCACGAACAGCGACGCGCCCACGUGCGCGUGGUGCUUUCGUUUUCCCUGUGCCGCCUCUCUGCGCCCGUUCUGUAUUCUUGUGUUUUUUUUUUGUUUCUGUGGUGCGGCCCUCUCUCACUGCGUUCUCCUGCCCGCCCGCACCUUCCCCACUCCUUCUGCCCCUCCGGCGUCUCGACCCCCCUCUCCACGGAACCCCUCUCGGGCUUCCCCGUGAAGCUGUCCGACCUCUCACCUUGUUGUGUCCGUCAUCAUCUACCACCACUCACGCCCCGUCUUGCCGUGCAUUCUUCACCGCUCUUUGUUUGGCUUCUAUUUUCCUCAUUCUCAGCGGGCGUGCGACACGCUCAAGUGCCAUCACCUCUCGCUCAGGGGCGGAGGGUUCACUCUGGAGCGCGUCUUCGAACACGGCGUUCAGCAUACAAACCUGUAAAGUCGGGGUUUCCGCACGUCCGGCGCCUCACCGUUGCGGCUGCAAAGGAUGGCGAUGCGACGUCGGGCGGCACCGGCAUCGCCACCACGGCCUACACCACCCCAGCUGGGAAGAAGGCUCGGCUCAAGUGCGGCUUCCUGGUGGGCUUUCACGGCGCAGAGGCCGUCAUCGCCUCCUACAGCGCCGACUUGUAUUCCGCGGAUAUCUGGCGAUGGCGCGUAACUCCGGCGCACGUGUCAGGCACAACGCCGUCGCUGCCGUCGAUCUCCAAACCGCUGCCAAGCUUCCGUAAAGGUGAGACGCAGCUGCGCAUCUCGCUCGAGAGCAGUGUAGCGGGCUACGAGGCCAACGGGAGCUCGAUGUUGCCCGCGUCGAUGCUCCAGUGGUUCUACCGCUCCGUUCAGCCCUUCCUCAACAUGACGGCCAGUGUGUGCAGCAACUGCACCUCGGCGGUGACCGUCCUCGUCUCACCCGAGGCACUCAACACUAGCGGCAACCAGAAGAGCGCUGCUGUGAGGGACAGGUAGGCUCGACGGCGAGGCGCGUGCAAGGAGACGGGGACGCACACAAACACUCAUGCACGCACGACCGACUGCG